UACGUAGGUGGCAAGCGUUGUCCGGAUUUACUGGGCGUAAAGAGCGCGCAGGCGGUUGGAUAAGUCGAAUGUGAAAGCCCCCGGCUCAACUGGGGAGGGUCAUUCGAUACUGUCCGACUCGAAGGCAGGAGAGGGAAGCGGAAUUCCCGGUGUAGUGGUGAAAUGCGUAGAUAUCGGGAGGAAGACCGGUGGCGAAGGCGGUCUGCUGGGCAGUUCUGACACUGAUGCGCGACAGCGUGGGGAGCAACAGG
rnacentral:rRNA from 1 species